AUUGUGUUGGAUUUACAUGUGCAUGAGACAGAUGGUGACAAAAUGUGCAAAUAAACACACACACAGCAGUAAUGACUGACCUGAGCUCAGCCUCAUCGGAUUGUUGACAUCGUUGCUGGACAGAAACCUUACGUCUUGUUCUGCAGGUCCCACAUGAACCUUUGAUGGAACAACUGUAUCCUCCACAGCUUUGAACGGGGUCAGAGCGGUACAUCACUGAGCGAGGAGACGAAGGGAGCCAUAACUCAUCUCCUCUCAGCUCUCAACAUCCCGCUUGUCCGUCAGACAGAGGCAAGAAAUAGAUCCACAGCUCAGAUGGUGUUGUGGCGCUGAUUUGUCUUCUGUUCAUCUGCAGUCUGUCAA